UGGGAUGAAGGGUAGAGACUAAAAAGGAGGUUUUAUUAUAUAAAUUUGAAUUUAAAUUAAAAGUAAAAAUGCUUUUAUGAACUCUUGGGACGAGAAGACCCUAGAAGCUUAAAAGUUUAGAUAUUUUUAGAUUGGGGUAAUUAUUGAAGAAAUAAAUUUUUAUGAAGUUAAAAGCUUUAACGGAAGAAGUUACUCUAGGGAUAACAGCAUUAUUUAAUUAACAAGUUCUUAUUAAUAAUUAAGUUUGUGACCUCGAUGUUGAAUUAAUUUUUAUCUUUGGUGAAGAAACUUGAGGGGGGGGUCUGUUCGACCUUUAAAAAAUUACAUGAUUUGAGUUCAAACCGGUCCAAUCCAGGUCGGU
rnacentral:rRNA from 1 species